GGGAUACUAUUAUCGGUUUAGGCUGAUACUAGUGGCGAGAAUCCAUUGCUCCUGUACCUUAAAAGACCUUGUAAGUUACAAAGAUCUGAUGAUAAACCCUUACCUUCCCCUGUUUCCAGUAUAGUAUUUUGAUCGCACCGAGGCCAAGCUGUUCUUUUGAUCCAGUGGUUGGUGAUGGUCUUUUGGCAACAACCCAAUGGA
rnacentral:lncRNA from 1 species